AUGACUAUUUGUUAUAAUUAGUUUCUUUACCUUUAGUCUUUACAAAGUUGUAUGAAACAUUUCAUUUUGGUAGAUCGGAGGAGCA